rnacentral:tRNA from 1 species
CUAGCGGCAAAGAAUCAUUUCAAAUGAAAGUAAAAAAAUUAGGAAAGAAAAAAAUAAUAUCCUCAAUGUGUCCUAUAAGUAUGAUAAAAUGUUUUUAAUAUGUCAUUUACCUGCUGAUUCGUAAUCAGUAGGUCGGGGGUUCGAUUCCCCCCCCGCUAGC